rnacentral:rRNA from 1 species
AGUGAACGCUGGCGGUAGGCCUAACACAUGCAAGUCGAACGGCAGCACAGUAAGAGCUUGCUCUUACGGGUGGCGAGUGGCGGACGGGUGAGGAAUACAUCGGAAUCUACUUUUUCGUGGGGGUUAACGUAGGGAAACUUACGCUAAUACCGCAUACGACCUACGGGUGAAAGCAGGGGAUCUUCGGACCUUGCGCGAUUGAAUGAGCCGAUGUCGGAUUAGCUAGUUGGCGGGGUAAAGGCCCACCAAGGCGACGAUCCGUAGCUGGUCUGAGAGGAUGAUCAGCCACACUGGAACUGAGACACGGUCCAGACUCCUACGGGAGGCAGCAGUGGGGAAUAUUGGACAAUGGGCGCAAGCCUGAUCCAGCCAUACCGCGUGGGUGAAGAAGGCCUUCGGGUUGUAAAGCCCUUUUGUUGGGAAAGAAAAGCAGCAGGUUAAUACCACGCUGUUCUGACGGUACCCAAAGAAUAAGCACCGGCUAACUUCGCG